GACGAACGCUGGCGGCGUGCUUAACACAUGCAAGUCGAACGGAAAGGCCCUGCUUUUGUGGGGUGCUCGAGUGGCGAACGGGUGAGUAACACGUGAGUAACCUGCCCUUGACUUUGGGAUAACUUCAGGAAACUGGGGCUAAUACCGGAUAGGAGCUCCUGCUGCAUGGUGGGGGUUGGAAAGUUUCGGCGGUUGGGGAUGGACUCGCGGCUUAUCAGCUUGUUGGUGGGGUAGUGGCUUACCAAGGCUUUGACGGGUAGCCGGCCUGUGAGGGUGACCGGCCACACUGGAUGGGAGACGGCGUCCGGGCGCCUACGGGAGGCAGCAGCAGGGAAUCGGCCGCAAUGGGCGAAAGCCGGACGGAGACACGCCGCGUGAGAGAGGAAGGUCGCCGGAGCGGAAAGGUCUGGGACGAGGGAAGAACAAAGGUGGAAGGAAAGAUGCACGUAGGGACGGUACGUAAUCAGAAAGCAACGGCUAACUACGUG
rnacentral:rRNA from 1 species